AGCGAACGCUGGCGGCAGGCCUAACACAUGCAAGUCGAACGAAGUCUUCGGACUUAGUGGCGGACGGGUGAGUAACACGUGGGAACGUGCCUUUAGGUUCGGAAUAACUCAGGGAAACUUGUGCUAAUACCGAAUGUGCCCUUCGGGGGAAAGAUGUAUCGCCUUUAGAGCGGCCCGCGUCUGAUUAGCUAGUUGGUGAGGUAAAGGCUAACCAAGGCGACGAUCAGUAGCUGGUCUGAGAGGAUGAUCAGCCACAUUGGGACUGAGACACGGCCCAAACUCCUACGGGAGGCAGCAGUGGGGAAUCUUGCGCAAUGGGCGAAAGCCUGACGCAGCCAUGCCGCGUGAAUGAUGAAGGUCUUAGGAUUGUAAAAUUCUCUCACCGGGGACGAUAAUGACGGUACCCGGAGAAGAAGCCCCGGCUAACUUCGUGCCAGCCGCCGCCGUAAGAC
rnacentral:rRNA from 1 species